CUGUCUAACUGCGAACUUGUGUGACUCCCGGUUCAUCCUCUUUGUUCGGGUCACUGGGUUGGUGUUGGAGUUGGUCACCAUAUUCUGAACGUUUCACCUAUCGUUGCGGUGUACUGUUCUUGAUCUGCUGCGAAGCGACGAACCGCAACGGCAGUCACUCGCCUCAGCGAACUUCUGUCUGCUGCAUCUCAAAGGAGCAUGGGGACCUGAUGAUACCUUCAACUAAAAAAACCAAAUGUGCUCUCGUGUGGUCCUGACGGAAAAGUAGUAUCAACAAGAACCCUCCACUUUUUCGACCAAGUUAUCGUUAUGAGAUCCUUCUGAUGGCUUCUUACUAGGCUAUGCCGCUCCGAAGCAUUGAGAUGACGAAGCGUCGUGGUAGCUGCACCUCUGCCUUCGAAAGAUGAAUCAGUCAUUCCACACUGUGCUUACUGGCUUUGUAUAGAGUCUGGCAAAUCCGACAGACUUGGACUGCCUUUUUCAAGAAAGUUUGAAAUAGCAUCCCUUAUGCACCUGCAUUUCAAUUCCAAUCUGUAUUACAAGAAUGACAGACCACUCAACAGAGAUGAACAUCUGAAAGUGAAAGAGCUGGAAUGAAGAUACGUUAAUCUGUGUCAAAGGUUCUUAGUAUGUGUGCGAGUCGAGGACAUAGGUCUCAAGCUUAUUCCUGUCUCCAGAAGAGGUGACAACUAUGCUCCUUCUAUCUAUUAACCAGCUCCACUUUUUAGGGUUCCCUGUAAACUAAUGGAGCACAUCAUGUACUACCACGUUGUCAACCAAGUUGACUCUGUCAAUUUCUUUUUUUAAAUUCCAGCAUGGCUUUAGAAAAGGGUAUUCAGGCAAAACUAACGUAGUGGAAUUCGUUCACAGCAUUUCAAACUGUCUUGAUUUCUGGGUCCAUGUAGAUGUAGUAUUCUUUUUAUUUUGUAAGGGCUUUUGACACUGUGCUCUACGCUCGCGUGUUGGCCAAAGUAGCCUAAUUAAAAUUCGAUCCUGCUACCUGGAUAUGCAGUUUCUCAACUAACCGUAACUGUGGCGACAACUCGUGAGGAGAACCUAUCAUAUCGCCACUAUGCAGCAUUUGUUAUAUUACAAUCGCUUCACAUUUUAAUCUAGUCAAAAGCAAGGCCUUUUGGUGAUCGGUCUUGUAUAAUUACGUGCCCCUCCGUUAUGUAACACCACACUGGGUUCUUCAACCUAUGAGAGAGAAAUAAAUAUAUUGCCAAGUAAAUUGUCUACAAGCCAUUUCGCCACACUACCACAAGCAAUUGUUAGAGUAGUGGCCCAGGGUAUGAAGCUCGCCACUAAUCAUCAUUCAAACAAAGUUCAUAAUGUAAAAUGCUUUACUCAGAACACUGGCUUAACACAACAAUUAAGAAUAAAGAGAGUAAACGUUUCAUUGCCUAUCCAGGUGGCAUCAUCCCUCCAACAGAGAACAAUCAAAAACAACAUCAAAGGAGUCAAAUCGGUGGUCCGCAUUCCUUUCAUCCAAUGUAUUUCAUACGCUAUUUGGAGGGCACUGUGCCCAUCAGGCAUUUUGACUGUGCAUAUCAAGUUGAGUGCAUAGAAUCUGAUACAACCUACAUUGGCGAGAUAGACAAAAGACGUGGGACAAGACUAAAAGAGCCAGGGCUACUAAUGCUUAGCUUAACUAAACAGGACCGAAUGAGUCUACCACUGCUGUCCUAAGGGACAUAUAUUUUGAUGGUGCAGUAACCUUUGCUCAUGACUAGCGAUGGGACCCUAGAAAGUUCUUAGAAUCCUGCUUUAUCAGGCGUGAUGCUUCAGCCUGUAAUACAUACCGUGGCCCCCUAUCGGAUGUGUAAGAUUCCCUCUUAGAUAGGCUGAUGUGCUCAUCUUUGGCCUCUGUUGUACUGAUGAUGCCACCCGGAUAGGCGACAAAACGUUUUCGCUCUGUUUUUAUUCGUUGUGUUGAGCGGUGUUUGCAGUUACUGCAAACAGGACGCUACAUUAUGAGGUUGUCACCCGGCUUCUGGAAUAUAUUUUCAAAUAAAGUUGUUGUUUUACAAAGCUCAAUACAUUGCAGAAAUCAUUCUUGUUGCCUAUUGUUUUGGGGGUGCCAUUCUUGCAGUCACAUGA